rnacentral:rRNA from 1 species
AUUGAACGCUGGCGGCAGGCCUAACACAUGCAAGUCGAACGAGUGGCGGACGGGGGAGUAAUGGCUGGGAAACUGCCUGAUGGAGGGGGAUAACUACUGGAAACGGUAGCUAAUACCGCAUAGCAUCUGGUGUGCCCAGAUGGGAUUAGCGAGUAGGUGGGGUAAAGGCUCACCUAGGCGACGAUCCCUAGCUGGUCUGAGAGGAUGACCAGCCACACUGGAACUGAGACACGGUCCAGACGCCUACGGUAGGCAGCAGUGGGGAAUAUUGGACAAUGGGCGCAAGCCUGAUGCAGCCAUGCCGCGUGUGUGAAGAAGGCCGUCGGGUUGGAAAGCACUUGCAGCGGGGAGGCGUUACCCGCAGAAGAAGCACCGGCUAACUCCGUGCCAGCAGCCGCGGUAAUAC